rnacentral:lncRNA from 1 species
AUCCAUCUCCUGCUAUUUAGUGUGUCAUCCACUUUGCUCACACCUUGUGUUGAUGCAUUGUGGAUAAUAACCCAAGAUCUUUGUUGUGUCAGUCAUAUGUGGAGAAGAGUUCCUACUUUCUGAACUCCCACACUUUCAUUUGUCUGAAGCUCUCCCAGGCCAGGGAUAAGAGCUGUGAGGUCUUACCCUCACUUCCCAUUUCAUCUGCUUCACCCUAACUCUCAAUGUUAGGGUU